GAUGAACGCUGGCGGCGUGCCUAAUACAUGCAAGUCGAGCGAACGGACGAGAAGCUUGCUUCUCUGAUGUUAGCGGCGGACGGGUGAGUAACACGUGGAUAACCUACCUAUAAGACUGGGAUAACUUCGGGAAACCGUAGCUAAUACCGGAUAAUAUUUUGAACCGCAUGGUUCAAAAGUGAAAGACGGUCUUGCUGUCACUUAUAGAUGGAUCCGCGCUGCAUUAGCUAGUUGGUAAGGUAACGGCUUACCAAGGCAACGAUGCAUAGCCGACCUGAGAGGGUGAUCGGCCACACUGGAACGGAGAAACGGACCAGAAUCCUACGGGAGGCAGCAGUAGGGAAUCUUCCGCAAUGGGCGAAAGCCUGACGGAGCAACGCCGCGUGAGUGAUGAAGGUCUUCGGAUCGUAAAACUCUGUUAUUAGGGAAGAACAUAUGUGUAAGUAACUGUGCACAUCUUGACGGUACCUAAUCAGAAAGCCACGGCUAACUACGUG
rnacentral:rRNA from 1 species